UUCCUCUAGUUCCACCAGUUGGCACAAAACCUGCAACUAAAAAUAGUCCCACCAUAUCAUCUCUAAGCCUGGUCUGACUACAGGGUGGCUCAGCCUAAGAAUAGAGCCUGCUGAGCUUGAUAAGAAAGACUGAUCUGGGCACACCCUGUCCCUCCCAGAGUCCUGCAAGCCUCUGCAGAAGCCUCUGCUUCAAAAACCCUUUGAAGGAAAGCUAAAGAAUUUUUUUCCUCUGCUAACCAAAAUAACACCAGUGUAUUUUGAAGCUAGUUUUCAGCAGUGGUUCUCCUGGCUGAGAGUAUGUUUUCUAGAUUUAGAAAAGGAAAUAAAUGUCCUAAGGCCCUAACCAGAACAAGAAAUCAUGAGUUAGUCCAUACUUGAGAAUGAUCAUAGAUGAAUCCAUAAAUCUGUAACUAUAAUGAAAAAAUGUCCUACAGUCACAAUGUUUUUACAGUUGUCUAUUUACAGAAUAUCUAUUGAUGAUCUGACCAACAUUUGUACCCUCUGAUGCUAUACAAGUUUUGUAGGAACCUGGUGCAGAAUUUAGUUUUAAAAAAAUCAGGGUGAGAGCUAGGCCUGUCAUUUCCAAGGUAAGUGCUCUUAAGGCCAGUUAAUCUCUCUGCACCUGUUAAUCUGCAAAAUGGUGGUAAUACAAGAACCAACUUGAAUCGUUCACAUAAAAUCGUGUAUGCACAGUGCUUACAUAGCAAAUUACAGCUGUUAGCUAUUUAUCACUGACCUUCCGUCUUCCCCUCACUUUUUCACAGGUGCAGUGCUCCCCCUGUCACUGGGUCUGACCAUCACUGCUUUGCUGCUUCUCAUGGUUGCUUGCAGACUGAGACUGGUGAAGCAGAAACUUAAAAAAGCUCGUCCCAUUACAUCUGAGGAAUCCGACUACCUCAUAAAUGGGAUGUAUCUGUAAGCAGUGUAAUAAACUCCUCCCCAGCUCCCGGCAGCCCUGGCUCCCUGUGCCCACUUCCCAUUCUGUGGCCCUCCUCUUCCAUUCAGCUAUGUGGUUUCCUUUCUCUUCUCCCUUCGAGACCUGUUCCUGAGAGUGGAUUUCAAUUGAGUUUCUAACUUCAAUGAAACGUUACCUAAUGGCAGGAAUAUCUAAAUUGUAAUCCUCACGGACAUGCCACCGAGGCCUCAGAGAGGGUGAAUGUGUGUUCUUCCCAAGAGUCAUGCGGUGAUAGGAAGUCAAGGUAGAUUCAGAAAACCUGGCAGGGCAAUAAUCAUCAGAAAUUUAGCUGAGGGCAAAGUGAGCGAGGAUGACAAUCGGUAUUUUCUUCUGUCUACUCAGCACUGCUUGAGUUCAGAACACAGCAGCUCAUUUACACAGUCAGUUCUCAACAUUAGCCUGUGUUCAUGGAGGAGAAAAAUGCAUUCAAGUUGAAAAGCAGAACAUUGAAUGGCUUUGGGGGAACACCUUUUGUAAAAAUGUCACAUUUAAGUAUCAGCAGGUUUUUUCAUCCCAAGGAAUAAGCCAGUUUUCCCCAUUACUUCUUUAAUGCAUUAGAAUGUUAGAAUGUGCAAUGAGCUAAUGCCAGGCUUAUGUGUUCCCAGAGCAAAAAGCAGUUUUCACAAAUUCAUGUUUACAAAAAACUGGCAUCUAGCUUUGCAUCUUUUCCCUUCUAAUCAGUUGGUAGGAUUCUGAAGCCAGUUAUUCCCAUCAUCACUGAAUGCCUGGAUUAUACACAUUCUAGAAAUUAUCCUGAGGAAUCUACAGUGUGGUCCCUGUCUAUACUCACAUGAUGUUCCUAUUUACAUUUUUUUUACUGUAAGUGGCAAAUCUUUUAAAAUACUUGAAAACACUCCAGAACACUUUAUUACCAGACUGAACCAGAGGUUGUUCCUUUAACAAGGGGCUUAAUUUAGGUUGGAGACAUAACAGAAUAACAAAUGGAAAAUUAAAUCUAGGAAAAAUAAAUUGGUAUUUUUACUUCCUGAGAAACUCAUUUUGUUGAAUGCACAGAACUGAGCAGAGAUUUAAAUUUCUCCCCAAGGAGAGUUCAGAGAAGUGACUGUGUGAAUGAACUUAAGAUGUUUGUACCCUCUAUGUGAUGCUGUGUAGUUUUUUCCCUAGAAGGAUGUCACUUACAGCCAUACUCAAUAAACUAGAAACUGAUGAGGCAUACGUCUUUCAGCACAUCUUUUAUACACGAAGAAAUUAAAGUUUAGUAUUGCUGUGGUGUUGAAAUACUUGCAAAAAGAUGUCCUGUAUCUAUGUGUACUAUAUUCCUUUAAUAAAUUGUAUUUUAUUCUUAA